GGUCGCCAUGCGGAGGAUUUCCACGCCGGAGCGAUAGUAGCGUCGUGGUGGGACAUCCUCAUUCACCUCCACAGCACUCCCCAUCUGGAUCAGGCUUCGGACACGCUCCUCUGGUGGGAGGCUGACAUCAGCAUGCUUGGGCAUAACGAGGCACAUCAAACCUGCCGCAGCGCUGAGCAGCUCUGCGCCGGGUGGACAGCCGCAGCCUGCACUCA
rnacentral:lncRNA from 1 species